CAGGUGUGAUCUACCUGCUUCACCUGUAUUUACCUAACAGGAUUGGAGGGGUGGGGGAACCAGAGCAGCCAGCCAGGGGCCCCAGAGGAGGAGGAAGGGGUGGAGGCAGACCCUCCACCAGCCUCUGCCAGCUGUCUGGCUCCCUGAGACUCAACCGCGGAAGGCGCAGAAAGGCACGGGACAAGAAACUCACGGCUUUUCAUCCCAGCCAGAAGGACGGGGGAAAGCAAGGACAGAGGUUGGAGCAAGUUUUAUUUUUCUGGGGACGGGGGAGGAGAAACUCAUCACAUUCAAUAAACCUCUUUCCUCUCGUCCCCCCCC